rnacentral:rRNA from 1 species
AUUGAACGCUGGCGGCAGGCCUAACACAUGCAAGUCGAACGAGUGGCGGACGGGUGAGUAAUGUCUGGGAAACUGCCUGCUGGUGGGGGAUAACUACUGGAAACGGUAGCUAAUACCGCAUACCAUCAGAUGUGCCCAGAUGGGAUUAGCUAGUUGGUGGGGUAACGGCUCACCAGGGCGACGAUCCCUAGCUGGUCUGAGAGGAUGACCAGACACACUGGAACGGAGACACGGUCCAGACUCCUAAGGGAGGCAGCAGUGGGGAAUAUUGAAAAAUGGGCGCAAGCCUGAUGCAGCCAGGCCGCGUGUAUGAAGAAGGCCUUCGGGUUGUAAAGUACGUUCAGCGGGGAGGCGUUACACGCAGAAGAAGCACCGGCUAACUCCGUGCCAGCAGCCGCGGUAAUUC